AUGACAAGAUAACGUUACAGUUAUCCCAAAGGAAUAGCACGCUCACUUAUGUAGCCURAUAUUGAAAUCACGUUAACAGAGGGAAAGGAGGAAUAACAUAAAUAAGAAAACUUCCUGAGUGGCGCCAAAUCACGCACACGAACCCAUCCAUUGUGAGGCUAACCAUGCUAGCAAGCUAACAUCAGAAAGAAAAACUACCAGCUGAAUUUGACAAUUGGCAACAAGCUAACGCUAGCUGCACAUGCUACUGCAAGCAAMGCUGUGAAAUUCAGCAGUCAUAAGCAACGGGUUCACUCAUCUCCCCAUUGAAGUUUCACUCUUCUGAGAUUGRACUCCAGCAAUAUUUGCCGGGRUGGGAAACCCAAACUGCCCUCUUUUCUGAGACAUCACACCUGAACUCCUUCUCUUCCAGAUAGAGACAACUUCAGACCUUCAUUUAUCAGAUCUAGGCACAACAACAGAACAUCUCUGGGCCUGCAGAGAGGCCCCAGCUGCCUCUGAAUUUCUUCACAGCCUGAAAUGAAACUCGAGCACACAGAAUUUGUUUCGGUAUGUCAUUUAUUUUAUAAAACUGGAAUGCAUUUAACAAAAGGUUUAAGUACCUCCAUUAGUGUUUAGGAUUGUACCAAUUUAACACAGGCAGCGUGCUACAGAACACACAAAGCUAUUGCACACAAGACAUUUCAUACCACACAGAAAAUCAUACACACUGUACAAAGAUACAACAUAAUUACACAUUGCUAUUUAUAAUAUUUGUCAUACAAAAACAUCGACAUACACUGAAAAUCAUACAGAUUAAAACACUGUUCCAUCCAAAAGGGGUAAAAAAAAAAGGGCGAAUUUAAACAUCACUGAAGCUGCCAAAGUGCUUUUCACCAUUUCUACUUGGCUGUCUAAAUGCAAAUGUUACUCUUAAAAAAAAA